rnacentral:misc_RNA from 1 species
AUUGUAGCCUGAGAUGGAUGAAGUAUCACACUUAAAAAUGCUUACUGAAAAUGGGCAAUGUGUUAGUCUAACACAGGAUUGUGUAUCACUAAGUAUGGAGAACUCUGCAUUACACAAAACUUGUUAGUUUUUAUUAUUGUAUUAUUAAAUAACACAGUCAAAGUAUUCCAAGUGUUUGUUUAUUAAACACUAGGAAACUUGAUCCCACUUCGCUUUGUGCGUGUUCAUG